GUCUGCAACAUGUCAUUAACCGAGGAGCUAGCUCUCAAUGUCAAGAUUGACGAGUUGGCACUUAUUUUUCAAGACAAAUAUAAUGAUCACAUUGAAGGUUGGAGAAAAAAAAAAAGGAAAAGAGUUUGUAUAAUUAGAUGCCCAAAUCCAAAUCUUUCCAAACAUAAUAGUCCACACAAACUCAAAUUGCACCAAACUGACCUCUCCAAUGGUCCAACAAAACCCUAAAAUCCCUAUACGAAAAUGACAAAACGAAGUUGAUUGAAGUUCAUUUGUACAUACGUACACUUGGUGCACGAAACAUUUCCCAACAUUAAUCAUAACUCAAUGUAUAUUCUCAACAAUUUUUCCAAAUAAAUUUCCGAUCACAUCCAAAUUAAUAAGAAAAAUAAAUGAUGGAAAAUCAAACCUUUUUUUUUCUUCAUGUUUAUGCAUGUACUACAUAGUGGUAGUAUGUGUGUGUGUGUGUGUGGAGAAUGGUUUAAAUUAAAACAUUCUUUAUUAUUAGAGAGUGAAUACUACAUGUUGUAUAUAUAUAGGAAGAUCGAGGAGGAAUGGAGUAGCCAUGAACACUAGCUAGAGUGCAAAAUAUAUGGUGAAUGUCAUAUUCAUAGGCCGAAUUAUUAGUUGGGGAUGAAUACAAUUGAGUACUCAAUUGCAACAAGAAUAAAUAAUGCCCAUUUUAAACGGUCUUGCAUGUAUCCAUUACCUUGCUGAACCUAGAUAAUGAUGCCUUUACAUCAACAUAUAUUUUAUCAACACAAAUUCAUAUUUAUGAAUUUCCUCAUCUCAUCAUAUUUGCGAUAUAACUUAAUCAAAAGCUCACCUUGUGACUCUUACCAAAAAAAAAAAAAAAAAGCUCACCUUGUGACAAUAAUGGAAGACAUUAUUAUUUCCGAAAGCCGAGUUCGAGAGGUUACACAAAAGUGCAAUUAAUGAGUACAUAUAACUAAUUGCCUCUGUGAAAUAAUUAAUUAAGUAGCUCAUAUUCAUCUAUCUAAAAUGAAAUAAUCC
rnacentral:lncRNA from 1 species